GGAUGUGAGGACAAUCUGGCUGGCUAGGCAGGUGUCCUUCCUCCCAAAGCUGUGCGCUCAUUUGAAGAGGACAACCUUCCCCGAAUAGAGGAGGACUGGUCUUCGGUCCAGGGUGUAUGAGAAGCUGUGCUCCCUUGCUAGAACCUCCAAACAAGCCCUCAAGAAAGGGUAGCCAGAGAUGUUUACAUUCAUCCAAUUUGGAAUCUUAGCUUUAAUUAUCAUACUUUCUAAUUAUGAUCUAUAGAUUAUAUAA
rnacentral:snRNA from 1 species